rnacentral:rRNA from 1 species
GAGAACGCUGGCGGCGUGGAUUAGGCAUGCAAGUCGAACGGUAGGAUACCUUCGGGUAUCUGAGAGUGGCGAACGGGUGAGUAACACGUAGGUGAUCUACCCUCAAGAUUGGGACAACCCGAGGGAAACUUGGGCUAAUACCGGAUGAAAGCAGCAGUGAUGUUGUUUGAAAGGUGGCGUAAGCUGCCGUUUGGGGAUGAGCCUGCGCUCUAUUAGUUAGUUGGCGGGGUAAAGGCCCACCAAGGCGAUGAUAGAUAGGCGGCCUUAACGGGUGGUCGCCCACACUGGGAUUGAGAUACGGCCCAGACUCCUACGGGAGGCAGCAGUCGAGAAUAGUCUACAAUGGCCGAAAGGCUGAUAGUGCGACGCCGCGUGAACGAAGAAGCCGUUUCGGGGUGUAAAGUUCUUUUAUAUGUGAGCAGUGCUUUCUAUGUGAACAGCAUGGGGAGAGAGAUAUUAGCAUAUGAAUAAGCAACGGCUAACUCCGUG